GGUUAAAACGCUCGUAGUUGGAUAUCUGCUAAGCGGGUUCCGGUCCUUCCCAGUGAAGAAUACGCGGAACUCUUCUUGGCAUUUAUUCAGGGAAGGUGUUUGCACUUUGUUGUGUGUCACAUGAUCUGAAUUUUUACUUUGAGGAAAUGAGAGUGUUUCAAGCAGGCUUUCGCCGUGAAUAUGAUAGCAUGGAAUAAUAGCACAGGACCCCUUUCCAAAGCUGUUGGUUUUUGGAACGAAGGUAAUUCAGAAUUAAGGGAUUAGUUGGGGGGUUAUUCGUAUUUAAACCUGGUUCAGGAAGGUGAAAAUUUCUUGGGAAUUUUUUUAAAAGGACCGAACCUAUUGCCGAAGGGCUUUGCCCCGGGAUGGUUUUAUUGAUCAAGAACGAAAGUUAGGGGAUCGAAGACGAUCAGAUACCGUCCUAGUCUUACCCUUAAACUAUGCCGGCUGGAGAUUGGAGUUGUCAGAAUUGUGACAUCUUCAGCAUCCUGAGAGAAAUCGAAGUCUUUGGGUUCCGGGGGGAGUAUGGUCGCAAGGCUGAAACUUAAAGGAAUUGACGGAAGGGCACCACCAGGAGUGGAGCCUGCGGCUUAAUUUGACUCAACACGGGAAAAACUCACCA
rnacentral:rRNA from 1 species